rnacentral:snRNA from 1 species
UAACUCUGGUGUCUCCCCAUUCGCGGAUAAAUCUUUUGCCUUUGGCUAUAGAUUUCCGUGGGGAGGCACAAUACAAAGAAUCUUAUCGCAUUUUUUAGCUCUGUAUUCGCACAGAGU